UGCCAGCCGCCGCGGUAAUACGGAGGGUGCGAGCGUUAAUCGGAAUUACUGGGCGUAAAGCGUACGCAGGCGGUUGUUUAAGCCAGAUGUGAAAGCCCCGGGCUCAACCUGGGAAUAGCAUUUGGAACUGGGCAACUAGAGUCUUGUAGAGGGAGGUAGAAUUUCAGGUGUAGCGGUGGAAUGCGUAGAGAUCUGAAGGAAUACCAGUGGCGAAGGCGGCCUCCUGGACAAAGACUGACGCUCAUGUACGAAAGCGUGGGGAGCAAACAGGAUUAGAUA
rnacentral:rRNA from 1 species